AUGAACGCUGGCGGCGUGCCUAACCCAUGCAAGUCGAACGGAGUCCAGCCUUAGAGACCUUCGGGUCAAAGAGGGGAAGACUGAGUGGCGGACGGGUGAGUAACACGUGGGCAACCUGGCUCAUAGAGGGGGAUAACAGAGAGAAAUUUCUGCUAAUACCGCAUAAGCACACACUGCCGCAUGGCAGAGUGUGAAAAGAGAAUCGCUAUGAGAUGGACCCGCGUCUGAUUAGCCAGUUGGCAGGGUAAGAGCCUACCAAAGCGACGAUCAGUAGCCGAUUUGAGAGGAUGAACGGCCACAUUGGGACUGAGACACGGCCCAAACUCCUACGGGAGGCAGCAGUGGGGGAUAUUGCACAAUGGGGGGAACCCUGAUGCAGCGACGCCGCGUGAGUGAAGAAGUAUUUCGGUAUGUAAAGCUCUAUCAGCAGGGAAGAUAAUGACAGUACCUGAAUAAGAAGCCCCGGCUAACUACGUG
rnacentral:rRNA from 1 species